GGAAUAUCGCGUUGUUUCGGCCCGUCAACCUGUCUUAGGGAGGGCGUUGUGAAGUUGCAAUUGGCCCUGUUCUGUGCUGUCCGGAUCCGUGAUCGUGGUCAUCAAACUUUCAGGAGACAGCCCAUGUCAUGUUCGCCUUGUGUCGUUUCGGCCCCGGCGUUCAAUUAUGGUUCUUGGGUUGCCUACCGGUUAAGUGGGAAUCAUGUGCCUCUUAUGACCCGUUCAUUCCAGGCCCCUCGUAGGGGUCGUUGGAGGAUUCGAAAGUGGUGCGUGUGAUGAGUUGGCUGUGCACUGUAACGGCUUGCCUUCUCACACGUGUCCAGUGUUCCCUUGGAUGCGGUGCAUGCGGCGAGCGUGGGCUGAUUCUGACCAGUCUGUCCCGUUGAGUCCCUUCGAUUUAUCGGUUCCCUUGAAUGACACUUUGCCGUGGUGUGGGUCUUGCUUAACCAUCCGUGGUGGCAACACUUGCACCUGGAGCAAAGUCGUUGAUG
rnacentral:misc_RNA from 1 species